GGGGGUGUAGCUCAGUGGUACAGCGCUCGCUUUGCAUGUGAGAAGGCCCGGGUUCAAACCCCGCCACCUCCA